rnacentral:sRNA from 1 species
UAAACACUGCCUCGUCUGGGAAGACGGCAU